UACGAAGGGGGCUAGCGUUGCUCGGAAUUACUGGGCGUAAAGCGCACGUAGGCGGCUUCUUAAGUCGGUGGUGAAAUCCUGGAGCUCAACUCCAGAACUGCCUUUGAUACUGGGAGGCUCGAGUCCGGAAGAGGUGAGUGGAACUGCGAGUGUAGAGGUGAAAUUCGUAGAUAUUCGCAAGAACACCAGUGGCGAAGGCGGCUCACUGGUCCGGUACUGACGCUGAGGUGCGAAAGCGUGGGGAGCAAACAGG
rnacentral:rRNA from 1 species